CAGCCGCGGUAACACCGGCAGCUCUAGUGGUAGCUGUUUUAUUGGGCCUAAAGCGUUCGUAGCCGGUUUAAUAAGUCUCUGGUGAAAUCCUAUAGCUUAACUGUGGGAAUUGCUGGAGAUACUAUUAGACUUGAGAUCGGGAGAGGUCAGAGGUACUCCUGGGGGUAGGGGUGAAAUCCUGUAAUCCUAGGAGGACCACCUGUGGCGAAGGCGUCUGACUAGAACGAAUCUGACGGUGAGGAACGAAAGCUAGGGGCGCGAACCGGAUUAGAUACCCGGGUAGUCCUAGCCGUAAACUAUGCGGACUUGGUGUGAGGGUGGCUUUGAGCCGUCCUGGUGCCGAAGGGAAGCUGUUAAGUCCGCCGCCUGGGAAGUACGGUCGCAAGACUGAAACUUAAAGGAAUUGGCGGGGGAGCACCACAACGCGUGGAGCCCUGCGGUUUAAUUGGAUUCAACGCCGGAGAUCUCACCAGCGGCGACAGCAGUAUGAUGACCAGGUUGAUGACUUUUGUUUGACAAGCUGAGGGGUGGUGCAUGG
rnacentral:rRNA from 1 species